rnacentral:tRNA from 1 species
GGACCGGUAGCUUAGCUGGUUUAAAGCGCUGCCCUGUCACGGCAGAGAGCGCGGGUUCGAAUCCCGUCCGGUCCGCCA